rnacentral:rRNA from 1 species
AUGCAUACUUCUCCUUUCAUUGUUGUUGGCAACGGUUCUAAGAUCCCUGUAGCUGCUACUGGCACCGCACGUCUCACUCAUCGCCCCUUCCAUCUCAACCACAUCCUCUACUCCCCUCACAUCGUUACAAAUUUAAUUUCUGUUCGUCGCUUCACUCGAGAUAACCUUGUUAUUGUUGCCUUUGACCCAUUUGGCUUCUCCGUGAAGGACUUGGCAACGGGGACAACUCUGAUUCGGUGCAAUAGUUCAUGCGAACUUUAUCCUUUCCACUCCAAUAAUGGCAGCGCACGGGACACGCAGGCCCUCUCCGUUCUCGAAGACGGCGACAUAUGGCAUCUCCGAUUAGGGCAUCCUAGCCGCGCCUCGCUUUCCAUUUUAGCUAAAGAUUUCCUUCCUGAAUGUAAUAGAUCGCCAGUUUCAUCCAUAUGUGGAUCUUGUAAAAUUGGCAAGCAGCCCAGACUACCUUUUCCUACAUCAAAUUCAUUUACUACUGCUCCUUUCCAAUUGCUUCACUGUGAUCUUUGGACUUCGCCCGUGUGUAGUUUCUCCGGAUUUCAGUACUAUUUGGUUGUGUUGGACGAUUAUACCCACUAUUCCUGGACCUUCCCAUUACGAUGCAAAUCUGAC